UAGGGAAUAUUCCGCAAUGGGCGAAAGCCUGACGGAGCAACGCCGCGUGAGUGAAGAAGGUCUUCGGAUCGUAAAGCUCUGUCAACAGGGACGAAACAAGACGGUACCUGAGAAGGAAGCCACGGCAAACUACGUGCCAGCAGCCGCGGUAAUACGUAGGUGGCAAGCGUUGUCCGGAAUAACUGGGCGUAAAGCGCAUGUAGACGGCAUGAUAAGCCAAAUGUGAAAUGUAGGGGCUCAACCCCUACAC
rnacentral:rRNA from 1 species